AAGGGUUUUAGCAUGUUAUAAUGCGCAGCGGAAGCUAGGAAUUUUAAAAAUUUCUUAAUAAAGUCCCUAUGCAUGAAACCCUUUUAAGCCUAGAUCACCUUAAUGAUUACAAUCAAAUGAUAUAAAAUAAAUGCAGAAUUAGUAGAAUACCUCAAACGCUAAUCCAAAGUGUACAAUCUCCACGAGGCGUCCAAGUGUCCACCCUCCAAUGGUGAUCCACAUGAAAACUUGAUCAAGACUUUAGCUCCAAAGUCUUUUGAUCCUUAAUGCAGAAUUCU
rnacentral:lncRNA from 1 species